GGCUUUAUAGUCAAUAAUGAUAUUAGACUGCAAUUCUAAAGGAGUAAUAUAUUUACUAAGGCUU
rnacentral:tRNA from 1 species